GUGCUUGCUUUGGCAGCACGUGUACUAAAAUUGGAACGGUACAGAGAAGAUUAGCGUGGCCCCUGCACAAGACCAUGACUCAACACAGAUGCAGCUUCUCUUA